CUGCCCUGCAGUGGCCAGGACAGCAGUGAUUCAGUCUCCUUGUGUCAGUGGCAGGCCACAGAAUCUCAGCAAAGCAGUGGAAUGACACAUGUUCUGCUGCAUGGAUGAACUUCAGGAAAUACCAAGGAGCCAAGCUAGGUGGGUGGCACAUAUGUGCAGAAAGAGAGACAGAGGAAGCAGGACAGCUGGGCGCAGCAGAAUGCAGAAGGCCAAAAAGCAGCUCUCUUCCCUUGCUUUGGACACUCUGCUCAGCAUAGAU